UUCAGCGCAGAAUUUACCCACAUCUGGGAGGAGCUAGAACCCCUUGUCUCCUGUUGGACCUUUGGAAUGUAUUAUUUGCGUAGGGUCUCCGGUACCAUUUAAGAAGAACUCUGUGGCAGCCUUUGUCAUUAUAAAAAUCAGGACUUUUCACAAGUAGGGGGUGAAGAGCUUCGGGUGUCCUGUUUGGAGGUCCUGGAGGUGGGGCAGGCCCGGGACGAGAGGACGCUGCUCCUUCCAGCUCAUACUGAGCCAGGGGUCGCUAGCGCUCAGCUGGCAAGUACCCUGCUCUUUACAGGCAUUGCCUCCGGCUGUAUGCUUCCCUUUAAGGAGAUGCCUCAAGACUGCUCUCUUCUUAAUUUUCACCAGGUUUCACUCAGCACCACUCCCCUCCUUUGCUGGUUCUCCUACGGCCUACUGAAGGCCCAGGUGGGACAGAGGAGGAGCCAGACGGAGACGCAGCCGCUUCUCUUGCACCUCCUGUUUCUUUGAUUUGCUCGGGUCAGCGCAAUGCCAAAGGCAUGAGCCGGAGGACUCCAUGUGGAAAAGUUAAGGAAUCCUUGUUACUUUUCUCCAGUCCUGGAAGUGAAGAAGGAAGGCAGAAUUUGGAGAUGGCCCACAGCAGUGAAAGCAAACGAGUGAAGGAUGGGCAGAUGGUGACCGUGACAAGAACUGAGCAUGUAGCAUGACGCUGCACUGAUUUCCAGGCAUGGCUAAAGUCAUCUUGGAGAAGAGUUCACAGGAAGUGGGGAUUUGGAUGUUUCUUUGCUCUUUACAAUGAAUCUGGGAGCCUGUGCUUGGAUUCCUGGGGCACUUCCACAUGAUGUGCUCCGUGUGUCUCUCAUCCUCUUUGGACCAGUUUCCCAGCCUAGUCUAUCCCCUACUUUGAGUGACACUGGACCUCCGGAAGCUCGCUCAGGGAAAUCCUUCAAAGUGCAUGAGAGAUGGGCAAGGGCUGGUAAAUAUGGUGUGAUGGUGACUCUGUGCUUGCUUUCAGGACAAGAUGUCAGCACUUUUGACCAGGUAGCCGCCUGAGAGAGGGAACAAAGAGAUGUGUAUCUAUAUAGAUUUUUCUUUAUCCACUUGGGACAAAUUUAAGGUCUCAAAGGCAUUAAUACCUUCUUUGAUAAAUUUCCAUGUCUCACGUCUCUCACACAAUGUUUAGAGCAGCAGACAUUUUCUAGUGUUUUAAGUAAUCUAUAUGUCAUUAUUUAUGACAGUUUUAAUCAUAAAGUAAAGCUAGCUGCUGGGGGCAAAAAAUUCCUAAAUGUUAGUCGUUCACCCAAUAAAGUUUAUUUUUCACUCACAUCACAAUCCAAUCAAGAUUAGUGGGUUAAUAGUUGAGGGAAACUUUGUUCCAUGAAGUCAAACAGAGACCUGGACUUUUUCUACCUGGUCAAGUCUUCAGUUUCGGUGGUUCAAGGUGGCCAAGGAACGGGAAGAGUGAGGGAAUAGGGGGAAGGCUCACCAGCUUUUGAUUGGACCCAGAAGUGAAACUCUACCUCUGCUCAAAUUCUACUGGUAAGAACUGGUCACAUGGCCUUACCUACAUGUAAGGGGAAUGGACAAAGUAGUUUAACUUUGUGUUCAGGAAAAGGACUAGAGGUUGGGUGAGCAUCCAUGACUCUGCUGAUAUGUCACUUUCUCUCUGAAUCAGUGUUUAGGAUUGUACCUGGUACACACUCAAAAAUGUUUGUUGAACAAGUAAAUGAAUGAAUGAGUGACUUUUGUUGUUAUGUUUUUCUGAGGCAGAAAAGGGGAAGGAAAUAAUUUUGGGGGAAGCAGAAACCUGCAUCUCCUAUUGUAUUCAUAUGACCACUUACACUUAUGAAAUUAUUUCACAAGCAUUCUUGGAAUUCAUUUUCUUUUAUUUUUUUUCAUUCAUUCAACCA